rnacentral:rRNA from 1 species
GGUUAAGCGACUAAGCGUACACGGUGGAUGCCCGGCAGUCAGAGGCGAUGAAGGACGUGCUAAUCUGCGAAAAGCGUCGGUAAGGUGAUAUGAACCGUUAUAACCGGCGAUGUCCGAAUGGGGAAACCCAGUGCAAUUCGUUGCACUAUCGUUAACUGAAUACAUAGGUUAACGAGGCGAACCGGGGGAACUGAAACAUCUAAGUACCCCGAGGAAAAGAAAUCAACCGAGAUUCCCCCAGUAGCGGCGAGCGAACGGGGAGCAGCCCAGAGUCUGAAUCAGCUUGUGUGUUAGUGGAACGGUCUGGAAAGUCCGACGGUACAGGGUGAUAGUCCCGUACACCAAAAUGCACAGGUUGUGAACUCGAAGAGUAGGGCGGGACACGUGGUAUCCUGUCUGAAUAUGGGGGACCAUCCUCCAAGGCUAAAUACUCCUGACUGACCGAUAGUGAACCAGUACCGUGAGGGAAAGGCGAAAAGAACCCCGGCGAGGGGAGUGAAAAAGAACCUGAAACCGUGUACGUACAAGCAGUGGGAGCACCUUCGGGUGUGACUGCGUACCUUUGUAUAAUGGGUCAGCGACUUAUAUUCUGUAGCAAGGUUAACCGUAUAGGGGAGCCGCAGGGAAACCGAGUCUUAACUGGGCGUUAAGUUGCAGGGUAUAGACCCGAAACCCGGUGAUCUAGCCAUGGGCAGGUUGAAGGUUGGGUAACACUAACUGGAGGACCGAACCGACUAAUGUUGAAAAAUUAGCGGAUGACUUGUGGCUGGGGGUGAAAGGCCAAUCAAACCGGGAGAUAGCUGGUUCUCCCCGAAAGCUAUUUAGGUAGCGCCUCGUGAACUCAUCUUCGGGGUAGAGCACUGUUUCGGCUAGGGGGUCAUCCCGACUUACCAACCCGAUGCAAACUACGAAUACCGAAGAAUGUUAUCACGGAGACACACGGCGGGUGCUAACGUCCGUCGUGAAGAGGGAAACAACCCAGACCGCCAGCUAAGGUCCCAAAGUCAUGGUUAAGUGGGAAACGAUGUGGGAAGGCACAGACAGCCAGGAUGUUGGCUUAGAAGCAGCCAUCAUUUAAAGAAAGCGUAAUAGCUCACUGGUCGAGUCGGCCUGCGCGGAAGAUGUAACGGGGCUAAACCAUGCACCGAAGCUGCGGCAGCGACACUAUGUGUUGUUGGGUAGGGGAGCGUUCUGUAAGUCUGCGAAGGUGACCUGUGAGGGUUGCUGGAGGUAUCAGAAGUGCGAAUGCUGACAUAAGUAACGAUAAAGCGGGUGAAAAGCCCGCUCGCCGGAAGACCAAGGGUUCCUGUCCAACGUUAAUCGGGGCAGGGUGAGUCGACCCUAAGGCGAGGCCGAAAGGCGUAGUCGAUGGGAAACAGGUUAAUAUUCCUGUACUUGGUGUUACUGCGAAGGGGGACGGAGAAGGCUAUGUUAGCCGGGCGACGGUUGUCCCGGUUUAAGCAUGUAGGCUGAUUAUCCAGGCAAAUCCGGAUAAUCAAGGCUGAGGUGUGAUGACGAGGCACUACGGUGCUGAAGUAACAAAUGCCCUGCUUCCAGGAAAAGCCUCUAAGCAUCAGGUAACAUUAAAUCGUACCCCAAACCGACACAGGUGGUCAGGUAGAGAAUACCAAGGCGCUUGAGAGAACUCGGGUGAAGGAACUAGGCAAAAUGGUGCCGUAACUUCGGGAGAAGGCACGCUGGUGUGUAGGUGAAGUCCCUGCGGAUGGAGCUGAGACCAGUCGAAGAUACCAGCUGGCUGCAACUGUUUAUUAAAAACACAGCACUGUGCAAACACGAAAGUGGACGUAUACGGUGUGACGCCUGCCCGGUGCCGGAAGGUUAAUUGAUGGGGUUAUCCGUAAGGAGAAGCUCUUGAUCGAAGCCCCGGUAAACGGCGGCCGUAACUAUAACGGUCCUAAGGUAGCGAAAUUCCUUGUCGGGUAAGUUCCGACCUGCACGAAUGGCGUAAUGAUGGCCGGCUGUCUCCACCCGAGACUCAGUGAAAUUGAACUCGCUGUGAAGAUGCAGUGUACCCGCGGCAAGACGGAAAGACCCCGUGAACCUUUACUAUAGCUUGACACUGAACAUUGAGCCUUGAUGUGUAGGAUAGGUGGGAGGCUUUGAAGCGUGGACGCCAGUCUGCGUGGAGCCAACCUUGAAAUACCACCCUUUAAUGUUUGAUGUUCUAACGUUGGCCCCUGACCGGGGUUGCGGACAGUGUCUGGUGGGUAGUUUGACUGGGGCGGUCUCCUCCCAAAGCGUAACGGAGGAGCACGAAGGUUAGCUAAUCCUGGUCGGACAUCAGGAGGUUAGUGCAAUGGCAUAAGCUAGCUUGACUGCGAGCGUGACGGCGCGAGCAGGUGCGAAAGCAGGUCAUAGUGAUCCGGUGGUUCUGAAUGGAAGGGCCAUCGCUCAACGGAUAAAAGGUACUCCGGGGAUAACAGGCUGAUACCGCCCAAGAGUUCAUAUCGACGGCGGUGUUUGGCACCUCGAUGUCGGCUCAUCACAUCCUGGGGCUGAAGUAGGUCCCAAGGGUAUGGCUGUUCGCCAUUUAAAGUGGUACGCGAGCUGGGUUUAGAACGUCGUGAGACAGUUCGGUCCCUAUCUGCCGUGGGCGCUGGAGAAUUGAGGGGGCUGCUCCUAGUACGAGAGGACCGGAGUGGACGCAUCACUGGUGUUCGGGUUGUCAUGCCAAUGGCACUGCCCGGUAGCUAAAUGCGGAAGAGAUAAGUGCUGAAAGCAUCUAAGCACGAAACUUGCCCCGAGAUGAGUUCUCCCUGAGACUUUAAGUCUCCUGAAGGAACGUUAAAGACGAUGACGUUGAUAGGCCGGGUGUGUAAGCGCAGCGAUGCGUUGAGCUAACCGGUACUAAUGAACCGUGAGGCUUAACCUU